rnacentral:lncRNA from 1 species
GCCUGAAGGACUUCCGGGAACCGCAAAGCACGGUGUGCCUCCGCUGUCCUGAAGAAAAAGCCGCGCGCGGACGACUGGCCGGCCCGCGCUUGCAGCUCCCAGAAGUUGACAGGCAUCCUCCGGUGACCGGUGUGAGUAUGGCAUCAGGAUGAUUUGACUGCAAGCAACAGAAAAAUCAAACAAAAAUGGCCUAAGCCAAGAAGAGAAAUGAUUAUUUCACAUUCCAAGAAGUUUGGGAGUCGAGUGGUUAAACGGCUAAUUAAUCUAGAGCUCAACAGUAUCACCCAGGACCCAUUUUCACUAUGGUGGCUAAAGCUCUGCACCCUUCAGGCUUGCACCAUGGCAGCAGCAGUGACAGUAAAGACACCCUUACACCACAAUGCUCCAUGACCAGGGAGAGGGUCUCCUCUCUCCUGCCCCUUUCUGGAGGCUCCACCGAAGAUUUCUCUUCACAUUCCGUUUCUCAUUCCUGAAGCAGUUGCUGGCAACAGGGAUGGACUUACCGCAAUGGGUACAGAGCAACUAAGAUUCACCACUAGUCUCGCUCUGUCACCCAGGCUGGAGUGCAGUGGUACAAUCUCAGCUCACGGCAAACUCGGCCUUCUAGAUUCACGCCAUUCUCCUGCCUCAGCCUCCCAAGUAGCUGGGACUACAGGCACCCACCACCUGGCCUGGCUAAUUUUUUUUGUAUUUUUAGUAGAGACGGGGUUUCACCAUGUUAGCCAGGAUGCUCUCGAUCUCCUGACGUCGUGAUCCGCCAGCCUCGGCCUCCCAAAGUGCUGGGAUUACAGGCGUGAGCCACAGCGCCCGGCCAAUUUCACAAAUAGAUUUUUUUUCUUACUGUAAAUCUUAGCAAGCUCAGCAUACGAAUUUUUUUUUCCUUAAAUUGAAAGCUUUUACCCUUUCACUUAAAGGCAGCACUUUAUGGCUUCUCUUGGGCAUAUCCAAAUUGCUACCAUCACUACUCGUAUUAGUCCAUUUUCACGCUGCUGAUAAAGACAUACCUGAGACUGAGAAAUUUACCAAAUAAAGAGGUGUACUGGACUUACAGUUCCACAUGGCUGGGGAGGCCUCACAAUCAUGGUGGAAGGCAAGAAGGAGCAAGUCAUGUCUUACAUGGAUGGCAGCUGGCAAAGAGAAAGCUUGUACAGGGAGACUCCCGUUUUGAAAACCAUCAGAUCUUGUGAGACUCAUUCACUAUUACAAGAACAGUGCAGGAAAGAUGCACCCCUGUACUUCAAUCACCUCCCAGCAGGUUCCUCCCACGACAUGUGGGAAUUGUGGGAGUUACAAUUCAAGAUGAGAUUUGGUUGGGGACACAGCCAAACCAUAUCACUACUCUUGUGCUUUGGGGCCAUUAUGAAGUAAAACAAGCAUUAUUUGAACACAAGAACUGCAAUACCACCACAGUAGAUCUGAUAACUGUUGGCUACUAAGUGACUAAGGGGCAGGUGAAGUAUACAGCUUGGAUGCGAUGGACAAAGAGGAAGAUCUACCUCCCAGCUGGGAUGGAGCAGGACGAUGCAAGAUUUCAUCACACUACUCAGAAAGGCAUGCAGUUUAAAGCUCGUAAAUUAUUUCAGGAAUUUUCCAUUUAAUAUUUUCAGGCUGUGGCUGACCGUGAGUAACAAACCCAGGAAAGCGAAACUGCAGAACAGUGGAUGGGAGAAAGGGUGAAUUACUGUAUAUUCAUGAGGGAUAUUAGUCCAUAGUUUCUUUUUUCCCUUUUAACAAAUUUUUGGGUUUUGUAUAUAGUUUGUCUGGUUUUGGUAUCAGGGUAAUACUAGCUUCAUAAAAUGAAUUGGAAAGCGUUUCUUCUGUUUUCCUAAAAAGAUUAUAUGGAAUUAGCAUUCAUUCUUUAAACACUUGGUAGAAAUCUUAAGUAAAACCAUCUGAGCUCGGAGAUUUUUUUGUGUGUGUUAUAAAAUUACAUAUUCAGUUUCCUUAAUAUUUAUAAGAUCAUUUUAAUUAUCUGUGUUUUUCAGUGAAACGGGUCAAUUUUCUGUAUGUUGUCAAAUUAAUAUUUGUAGAAUUGUAUUAGUAUUCUUCAUUAUCCUUUUGAUGUCUGCAGAAUCUGUAAUGGUAUCCCUGUUUUAUUUCUGAUAUUAAUUUGUGCCAUUAUGUCUUUUUUUCUUUGUUGAUCUUGUCAGAAGUUUGUCAAUUUUAUCAAUUUGUUCCAAGAACCAGCUCAUU